CCUGAGGGUUGUAAAGCACUUUCAGCGAGGAAGAACGCCUAGCGGUUAAUACCCGCUAGGAAAGACAUCACUCGCAGAAGAAGCACCGGAUAACUCCGUGCCAGCAGCCGCGGUAAUACGGAGGGUGCAAGCGUUAAUCGGAAUUACUGGGCGUAAAGCGCGCGUAGGUGGCUUGAUAAGCCGGUUGUGAAAGCCCCGGGCUCAACCUGGGAACGGCAUCCGGAACUGUCAAGCUAGAGUGCAGGAGAGGAAAGGUAGAAUUCCCGGUGUAGCGGUGAGAUGCGUAGAGAUCGGGAGGAAAUACCAGUGGCGAAGGCGGCCUUCUGGACUGACACUGACACUGAGGUGCGAAAGCGUGGGUAGCAAACAGGAUUAGAUACCCUGGUAGUCCACGCCGUAAACGAUGUCGACCAGCCGUUGGGUGCCUAGCGCACUUUGUGGCGAAGUUAACGCGAUAAGUCGACCGCCUGGGAGUACGGCCGCAAGGUUAAAACUCAAAUGAAUUGACGGGGGCCCGCACAAGCGGUGGAGCAUGUGGUUUAAUUCGAUGCAACGCGAAGAACCUUACCUACUCUUGACAUCCUGCGAAUUUGGUAGAGAUACCUUAGUGCCUUCGGGAACGCAGAGACAGGUGCUGCAUGGCUGUCGUCAGCUCGUGUUGUGAAAUGUUGGGUUAAGUCCCGUAACGAGCGCAACCCUUGUCCUUAUUUGCCAGCGCGUAAUGGCGGGAACUCUAAGGAGACUGCCGGUGACAAACCGGAGGAAGGUGGGGACGACGUCAAGUCAUCAUGGCCCUUACGAGUAGGGCUACACACGUGCUACAAUGGUCGGUACAAAGGGUUGCCAACUCGCGAGAGUGAGCCAAUCCCGAAAAGCCGAUCUCAGUCCGGAUCGGAGUCUGCAACUCGACUCCGUGAAGUCGGAAUCGCUAGUAAUCGUGGAUCAGAAUGCCACGGUGAAUACGUUCCCGGGCCUUGUACGCACCGCCCGUCACACCAUGGGAGUGGACUGCACCAGAAGUGGUUAGCCUAACGCAAGAGGGCGAUCACCACGGUGUGGUUCAUGACUGGGGUGAAGUCGUAACAAGGUAACC
rnacentral:rRNA from 1 species